CCAAUAUUGGGCUUAAAGGUCCAAUAGUUGAUUCUUCUCUGUUGAAUUCUAGGUCUCCUUCAUAUGUGUCCAUCCAUAACUCACUGAAACAAACAAGCAAUCGCUCCAAAACAAGAUAAGAAUUUGGAGGACGAACAAACUUUUGGGCUUACGUUUCUUUAAGCCCACCAAAAGUUAAAUACUUGGGCCACACAAAACCAUUUAGUUCCUUCUACUUUUGUAAUUUAUUUAAAUACGCAUAUUUUGUGAAAAUUGCAAGAAAAAAAUCUUUACUUGUGAAAUGGAUUUUCUUCAAAAUAAAAAAUGCUUGUAUAAUAUUGGGAUUUAGUUGAGCAUCUAAGAAAACUUUACUUACUCGAGCUUAAACGUCUCACAAUGACACAUUCCAUGUAAAAGUGUUGUAUUUGACAUCUUAAAAAUAUCUAGACUGAUAUUAGUAUAUUACCUCAUUUAUUUUUUUUCUACUUCGAUUGUGUGUCUAAUUGUGAUACGUUUUUGAAUUUUAGUUCUAUUUAUUGCUCAAUAUUUGAGUAGGAAGUAGCACGUUUAAAGGUACGAAUCUUGACACUAAAACAGAAAAAAAAAAGAUAUAUAUAGAGACCAUCCCCUAAAAACCUUUCUCUCUCGCGAAGAAGAAAGCGAACAGCCGCCGCCUAAGCAAACCUAACUCCGGUCCGGCGUUUGCCGGUGCCGGAGGCCCCUCUAAUCCCUUAUUUCUCUGUUUUCCUUUGCUCUAUUCUCUACUGCCUCUCUCUGUCGAUAUAUUAGCGGUUCUGGGUCACCUUAGACCUAACCGGAGAUGUGUCUUCUUCUUAACGGAGACGGUCUUUGGCUGUAUCUGGAGCAGCGGUGAGACUCAUGAGUAGGCAGAGGAGGAGGGAGUCGGCUUUUAGGGAGGUUGGAUAAAUCAGAUCUGGUUUUCAAUCUUCAGAUCCAUGGUGAGUCCAACUCGGCGAUGGCGCAUAAAUAUGGAAGACAACUCCUUCACAGUGGAUCUCCCUUCCAAUGGGACAAUGAGACACAGAGGAGAUUUUCGAUGGAGAGUGGAAGGCGAUUUGCUACCUGAUUCUUGGGUCAAUCGUAGGAGAUUACCUGGUCGUCGGUACAUGGUGGGGCUCAUACCAACGCUGGUGAGGAAUUCCUACCCUAGCGGGUGGUACGAGCUCGACAUCGUUGGAAACAAUAUCUGGCCUAUUGGUUUGUGCUUUGUAGUCAAGACCCGUCUUUUGUCGUCUGACAUUCUGGUUCAUCGUUUGUGGCUAAAGAGUGUGCCAGUGCCGUAGGUUCUGAGGCCGACACAGGAAUGCGCCUCUGAGUUUAGAAGUCUGGCAGUCGCAGUGAGGCUCAGUUUCGUUGUUUGGUGUUUGACAAUUUCAGUCGCAAAUUUCUCUUCCUGUUUUGGCUUCUAUCUAGGUAAAUAGUGGACGUCAAAGAGUGCGGUCCAGCCGUAUCCGAAAGUUGUGUGUAUCGUGAAGCGAUUCCUCUUAUCGGGUUAUGAAGUCGUGGUUCUUGGUUACGAGUGGGGAUGGUAUCGUUCGGCAGGCCAUAGGCGGCAGCGAUAAAUUCGAGUUGGGAAGACGUAGAGUCUUGGGUUCUACAAGUGGAGUGUAUCGUAUGGUUGGCCGAGGGCAGCAUCGAUACUUCCAGAUCAUUGCUUUGUGCUAUUCACGAGGUUUAUUGCUUUGGAUUGUUCUAUGCUUUGUGUAGUUGGUUUUAACUUGUUGUUUUUAGUUGGUGUUUCUAGUUUCUUUGCUUUGAUUGGUUGUGUUGUGUUGUGGUCGUAAGUCACUCCGGUGUGGGUUUUAGCUGCCUGUUGUUUGGGCUCUUGCUUCUGGGGACGUUGUAUUAUCCGCCAGUUUGUGUAUCAGAACGUGUGUUUCACAUGGAAUGAAAUUUUAUUCGACGGAAAAAAAAAGAGACCAUCAAUUUAUUUCAA